UACGUAGGGUGCGAGCGUUAAUCGGAAUUAUUGGGCGUAAAGGGCGCGUAGGCGGCUUGGCAAGUGGAAGGUGAAAUCCCUCGGCUUAACCGAGGAACUGCCCUCCAAACUGCUUCGCUUGAGACCGGGAGAGGUGAGUGGAAUUCCCAGUGUAGCGGUGAAAUGCGUAGAUAUUGGGAGGAACACCAGUGGCGAAGGCGGCUCACUGGACCGGUACUGACGCUGAUGCGCGAAAGCGUGGGGAGCAAACGGG
rnacentral:rRNA from 1 species